UAGGAGUUGGAAUAGGAGCUUGCUCCGUC
rnacentral:piRNA from 3 species